rnacentral:rRNA from 1 species
AGAAUCAACGCUGGCGGCGUGCCUCAGACAUGCAAGUCGAACGCGAAAGUCUCCUUCGGGGGACAAGUAGAGUGGCGCACGGGUGAGUAACACGUAGGUAAUCUACCUUCGGGUGGGGAAUAACAACCGGAAACGGUUGCUAAUACCGCAUAAUGCAGCGGCACCUAAUGGUGACAGUUGUUAAAGCGGGGGAUCGCAAGAUCUCGCGCCUGAAGAGGAGCCUGCGGCGGAUUAGCUAGUUGGUAGGGUAAUGGCCUACCAAGGCGACGAUCCGUA